UACGUAGGGGGCAAGCGUUGUCCGGAAUCAUUGGGCGUAAAGAGCGUGUAGGCGGCUCGGUAAGUCCGCUGUAAAAGUCCAGGGCUCAACCCUCGGAUGCCGGUGGAUACUGUCGGGCUUGAGUACGGAAGAGGCGAGUGGAAUUCCUGGUGUAGCGGUGAAAUGCGCAGAUAUCAGGAGGAACACCAAUUGCGAAGGCAGCUCGCUGGGACGUUACUGACGCUGAGACGCGAAAGCGUGGGGAGCAAACAGG
rnacentral:rRNA from 1 species